AUUGAACGCUGGCGGCAUGCCUUACACAUGCAAGUCGAACGGUAACGGGCCUUCGGGUGCCGACGAGUGGCGAACGGGUGAGUAAUACAUCGGAACGUGCCCGAUCGUGGGGGAUAACGAGGCGAAAGCUUUGCUAAUACCGCAUACGAUCUACGGAUGAAAGCAGGGGACCGCAAGGCCUUGCGCGGACGGAGCGGCCGAUGGCAGAUUAGGUAGUUGGUGGGAUAAAAGCUUACCAAGCCGACGAUCUGUAGCUGGUCUGAGAGGAUGAUCAGCCACACUGGGACUGAGAGACGGCCCAGACUCCUACGGGAGGCAGCAGUGGGGAAUUUUGGACAAUGGGCGCAAGCCUGAUCCAGCCAUGCCGCGUGCAGGAUGAAGGCCUUCGGGUUGUAAACUGCUUUUGUACGGAACGAAAAGCCUUCUUUUAAUACAGGAGGGUCAUGACGGUACCGUAAGAAUAAGCACCGGCUAACUACGUG
rnacentral:rRNA from 1 species